rnacentral:rRNA from 1 species
AUACGGAGGGUGCAAGCGUUACGCGGAAUCACUGGGCGUAAAGCGCGCGCAGGCGGCUAUUUAAGUUGGAUGUGAAAGCCUACGGCUCAACCGUAGAACUGCAUCCAAAACUAUUUAGCUAGAGUGUGGGAGAGGAAGAUGGAAUUAGUUGUGUAGGGGUAAAAUCCGUAGAGAUAACUAGGAAUACCAAAAGCGAAGGCAAUCUUCUGGAAAACUACUGACGCUGAGGCGCGAAAGCGUGGGGAGCAAACGGGAUUAGAAACCCCAGUAGUCC